rfam:Dipodomys ordii contig_34013, whole genome shotgun sequence.
GGUGGCUCAGUGGUAGAGUGCUUGCCUUGCAUGCAUGAGGCCCUGGGUUUGAUUCCCCAGCACCA